AGGACGAACGCUGGCGGCGUGCUUAACACAUGCAAGUGGAGCGACGAACCAGGGCUUGCCCUGGGGCAGAGCCGCGAACGGGUGAGUAACACGUGGGUUACCUGCCUCGAUGACCGGGACAACCCGAGGAAACUCGGGCUAAUACCGGAUGUGCCCGCAAGGGGAAAGGAAGCUUCGGCCUCCGCAUCGAGAUGGGCCCGCGGCCCAUUAGCUUGUUGGUGAGGUAACGGCUCACCAAGGCUUUGAUGGGUAGCUGGUCUGAGAGGACGAUCAGCCACACUGGGACUGAGACACGGCCCAGACUCCUACGGGAGGCAGCAGUGGGGAAUCUUGCGCAAUGCGCGAAAGCGUGACGCAGCAACGCCGCGUGGGGGAAGAAGGCUUUCGGGUUGUAAACCCCUUUCAGUUGGGACGAAGCCUCAUCGGUGAAUAGCCGCGUGGGUGACGGUACCUUCACAAGAAGCACCGGCUAACUACGUGCCAGCAGCCGCGGU
rnacentral:rRNA from 1 species